rnacentral:lncRNA from 1 species
UAAAACUGUCACCACCGCUCAAGCCGGAGGCCGCUGUCGUGGUCGCAGCCCUCGACGCCCGGAGGCCCUUCCUCCCCUCCCUCGGGCACGGUGAGCUCGGCCGCCACCUUCCUUGGUCGCGGCGAGUUCGGCCGCAGCCGUGGGCCGCGCUGGUGGGUUUCUUUCCCCCACCGCAGUGGGAACGAGGGAGCCGUCGGCUCCGACCGCGAGCUCGGCCGGGGACGCCAUGGGCUCGGCCGCCGGGGCUCGGCCCCUCCGGAGAUCACCUUCCUCCCUUCGCGGGAGAAGAAAGGGGGAAGGAAAAGAGGGAUCGGGAGAACAGAAGAAAGGGAGGAGGAGGGAGGAGAGGGAAAGGAAGGUUCGGGAAGAAACAGGGAACAAGAAGAAAAAGAAGAAAAAAAAAAAAACAAAAAGGAAGAAUGGGUUAACGGGUUUGGUUUGUAUUAACUGGUUGAGUCCGAACCCGAAUCGGUCCAAUCCGAUUUCAAGAAAUUAAAAUGGAUUUGGGUUAGCUCGGGUUGGGUCUGAUCUAAAUCCAACUAGAUUCAAUCAGAUUGGAAUUUAAAUUGAUUAACCCAAACAAAAUUUAAAUAGGGUUGAGUCCAAAUUUAAUUGGAUCUGAACCCAAUUAAGUUGGACUGUGCAAUGAUUGGACUCGGGCUGGCCUUGGGCCGAACCCAAAGUAUUUAAAAUGGUGGAUUAAAUCGGAUUCAG